rnacentral:lncRNA from 1 species
UUUUUUUUUUUUUUUUUUUUUUUUGUUUUUGCUUCCCCCACCCUUUUUCCAUUUCUUUCUUUUUCUUUCUCUUUCUCUUUUUCUUCUCUUAUUUUCUUUUUUUCUUCCUAUUUUCUUUUUCUCUUUUCUCUCCUUCUUUCUCUCUCUUUUUCUCCUUUUCCCAAUACAACUUGUUUUUGGCCACUCUGCACUGAGCAAAAUGACUAGAAGGAAAACCUCACCUCAAAAGAAAGAAUCAGAAACAGUCUUCUCUCCCACAGAGUUACAAAAUCUGGAUUACAAUUCAAUGUCAGAAAGCCAAUUCAGAAGCACUAUUAUAAAACUACUGGUGGCUCUAGAAAAAAGCAUAAAGGACUCAAGAGACUUCAUGACUGCAGAAUUUAGAUCUAAUCAGGCAGAAAUUAAAAAUCAAUUGAAAGAGAUGCAAUCCAAACUAGAAGUCCUAACGAGGAGGGUUAACGAGGUGGAAGAACACGAGGAGUGAGUGACAUAGAAGACAAGUUGAUGGCAAAGAGGGAAACUGAGGAAAAAAGAGACAAAAGACUAUGAAGAUAGAUUAAGGGAAAUAAACGACAGCCUGAGGAAGAAAAACCUACGUUUAUUUGGGGUUCCCGAGGGCGCUGAAAGGGACAGAGGGCCAGAAUAUGUAUUUGAACAAAUCCUAGCUGAAAACUUUCCUAAUCUGGGAAGGGAAACAGGCAUUCAGAUCCAGGAAAUAGAGAGACCCCCCCCCCCCAAAUCAAUAAAAACCGUUCAACACCUCGACACUUAAUAGUGAAGCUUGCAAAUUCCAAAGAUAAAGAGAAGAUCCUUAAAGCAGCAAGAGACAAGAAAUCCCUGACUUUUAUGGGGAGGAGUAUUAGGGUAACAGCAGACCUCUCCACAGAGACCUGGCAGGCCAGAAGGGGCUGGCAGGAUAUAUUCAGGGUCCUCAACGAGAAGAACAUGCAACCAAGAAUACUUUAUCCAGCAAGGCUCUCAUUCAGAAUGGAAGGAGAGAUAAAGAGCUUCCAAGACAGGCAGGAACUGAAAAAAUAUGUGACCUCCAAACCAGCUCUGCAAGAAAUUUUAAGGGGGACUCUUAAAAUUCCCCUUUAAGAAGAAGUCCAGUGGAACAAUCCACAAAAACAAGGACUGAAUAGAUAUCAUGAUGACCCUAAACUCAUACCUUUCAACAGUAACUCUGAACGUGAACAGGCUUAAUGACCCCAUCAAAGGUGCAGGGUUUCAGACUGGAUAAAAAAGCAGGACCCAUCUAUUUCCUGUCUACAAGAGACUCAUUUUAGACAGAAGGACACCUACAGCCUGAAAAUAAAAGGUUGGAGAACCAUUUACCAUUCAAAUGGUCCUCAAAAGAAAGCAGGGGUAGCCAUCCUUAUAUCAGAUAAACUAAAAUUUACCCCGAAGACUGUAGUGAGUGACGAAGAGGGACACUAUAUCAUACUUAAAGGAUCUAUCCAACAAGAGGACUUAACAAUCCUCAAUAUAUAUGCCCCGAAUGUGGGAGCUGCCAAAUAUAUCAAUCAAUUCACAAGCAAAGUUAAGACAUACAUAGAUAAUAAUACACUUAUACUUGGUGACUUCAAUCUAGCGCUUUCUAUACUAGAUAGGUCUUCAAAGCACAACAUCUCCAAAGAAACGAGAGCUUUAAAUAAUACACUGGACCAGAUGGAUUUCACAGAUAUCUACAGAACUUUACAUCCAAACUCAACUGAAUACACAUUCUUCUCAAGUGCACAUGGAACUUUCUCU